UACGUAGGGUCCGAGCGUUGUCCGGAAUUAUUGGGCGUAAAGAGCUCGUAGGCGGUUUGUCGCGUCUGCUGUGAAAUCCCGAGGCUCUACCUCGGGUCUGCAGUGGGUACGGGCAGACUGGAGUGCGGUAGGGGAGAAUGGAAUUCCUGGUGUAGCGGUGGAAUGCGCAGAUAUCAGGAGGAACACCGAUGGCGAAGGCAGUUCUCUGGGCCGUAACUGACGCUGAGGAGCGAAAGCGUGGGGAGCGAACAGG
rnacentral:rRNA from 1 species